rnacentral:rRNA from 1 species
CAGGGAUUGCCUCAGUAACGGCGAGUGAAGCGGCAACAGCUCAAAUUUGAAAUCUGGCUCUUUCAGGGUCCGAGUUGUAAUUUGUAGAAGAUGCUUCGGGUGUGGUUCCGGUCUAAGUUCCUUGGAACAGGACGUCAUAGAGGGUGAGAAUCCCGUAUGUGACCGGCUACCUUCGCUCAUGUGAAGCUCUUUCGACGAGUCGAGUUGUUUGGGAAUGCAGCUCAAAAUGGGUGGUAAAUUUCAUCUAAAGCUAAAUAUUGGCCAGAGACCGAUAGCGCACAAGUAGAGUGAUCGAAAGAUGAAAAGCACUUUGGAAAGAGAGUUAAAUAGUACGUGAAAUUGUUGAAAGGGAAGCGCUUGCAAUCAGACUUGCACGCAGUUGAUCAUCCGGUGUUCUCACCGGUGCACUCUGCUGCGUUCAGGCCAGCAUCGGUUCUGGUGGUUGGAUAAAGGCCUUGGGAAUGUAGCUCCUUUCGGGGAGUGUUAUAGCCCUCGGUGCAAUGCAGCCUACCGGGACCGAGGACCGCGCUUCGGCUAGGAUGCUGGCGUAAUGGUUGUAAGCGACCCGUCUUGAAACACGGACCAAGGAGUCUAACAUCUAUGCGAGUGUUUGGGUGUCAAACCCAUACGCGUAAUGAAAGUGAACGGAGGUGAGAACCCUUAAGGGUGCAUCAUCGACCGAUCCUGAUGUCUUCGGAUGGAUUUGAGUAAGAGCAUAGCUGUUGGGACCCGAAAGAUGGUGAACUAUGCGUGAAUAGGGUGAAGCCAGAGGAAACUCUGGUGGAGGCUCGCAGCGGUUCUGACGUGCAAAUCGAUCGUCAAAUUUGCGCAUAGGGGCGAAAGACUAAU